rnacentral:rRNA from 1 species
AUGCGACUAGCCGCCAUGGAGACCUCCCCUCACCUAAAGCUUGUCUCGCUCGCUCUCCUGCUAGCCUCGUUUCCCUUUCCCCGGGCCAUGGCAGCGCCACCCCCAUCCCUCCUGGAAGAACAGGCAGGAGCCCUCCUCGCCUGGAAAGCCACCAUCCAAAGCCCCCCAACCCAGCUCCAAUCCUGGGGAAACACCACGACACGGCCAUGCGGCUGGUACGGCAUCAGUUGUGGCGAGCAUCCAGCAAGCAUCACCGAGAUCUUUCUGCGGGGGUUGCGGCUGAGAGCGGAGCUGGAGGCCCUCAACUUCACGGCGUUGCAUACUCUCACGAGUAUCCGACUCCCCUACAAUCAGAUAAGAGGCCCCUUUCCACCCGCUUUAGCAUCAUCCUUGCCAAACCUCCGCCACCUCCUGCUCCAUGGGAAUGCACUCUCCGGUCAAAUACCGAGACAAAUAAAACACCUAGAGAGUCUUGUUGGGUUGGACUUGUCAAACAACCACUUGUCUGGUCCUAUACCCAUUGAACUAGGCUACCUAAACAAGUUGAAAAUGUUAGAUCUUUCCACCAACAACCUCACAGGCCCCAUUCCAACAAGUCUAGGGAAUUGCACUAAGCUCACCAUCUUGUACCUUGAUGAUAAUCAGUUAUCUGGACAUAUUCCUCAAGAACUAGGUUACAUCGUGAAACUACACGAGUUAGCACUUAGCAGCAACAAACUCAUGGGUUCCAUCCCCAAUACCUUUGGGAGUUUGAUUAACAUCACUCGAUUGUACCUAUGGGAUAACCAACUAUCCGGACAUGUUCCUCCAGAACUAAGUUCCUUGGUGAAUCUGGAAGACUUGGAACUUGCCAAAAACAGACUCACGGGUUCCAUCCCCGGUUCCUUUGGAAAUUUGACCAAGCUCACUACCUUGUAUCUUCAUCGUAACCAAUUCUCUGGACAUGUUCCUUGA